rnacentral:rRNA from 1 species
GGUGGAGCGAUUUGUCUGGUUAAUUCCGAUAACGAACGAGACUCUAGCCUACUAAAUAGCUGGUUUUUCUUCUUCGAGAACCACGCUUCUUAGAGGGACAAGCGGCGUCUAGCUGCACGAGAUUGAGCAAUAACAGGUCUGUGAUGCCCUUAGAUGUUCGGGGCUGCACGCGCGCUACACUGAAGGCAUCAACAUGCAUCUCAACCUACUCCGGAAGGAGCGGGUAACCCGUUGAAACGCCUUCGUGAUUGGGAUAGGGAAUUGCAAUUAUUUCCCUUGAACGAGGAAUUCCCAGUAAGUGCGAGUCAUCAGCUCGCGUUGAAUACGUCCCUGCCCUUUGUAC